GACGAACGCUGGCGGCGUGCCUAAUACAUGCAAGUCGAACGAACCGCGACUAAGUGCUUGCACUAAGUCAAGGUGAGUGGCGAACGGGUGAGUAACACGUGGGUAACCUACCUCAUAGUGGGGGAUAACAGUCGGAAACGACUGCUAAUACCGCAUAGGACAUAGGAUCACAUGAUCCAGUGAGGAAAGGUGGCGCAAGCUAUCGCGAAGAGAUGGACCCGCGGUGCAUUAGCUAGUUGGUAGGGUAAAGGCCUACCAAGGCGAUGAUGCAUAGCCGACCUGAGGGGGUGAUCGGCCACAUUGGCACUGAGACACGGCCCAAACUCCUACGGGAGGCAGCAGUAGGGAAUCUUCCGCAAUGGACGCAAGUCUGACGGAGCAACGCCGCGUGAGUGCAGAAGGUCUUCGGAUCGUAGAGCUCUGUUGUUAGAGAAGAACAGCGCAUAGAGUAACUGCUAUGCGUGUGACGGUAUCUAACCAGAAAGCCACGGCUAACUACGUG
rnacentral:rRNA from 1 species